rnacentral:rRNA from 1 species
AAUCAACGCUGGCGGCGCGCCUAAUACAUGCAAGUCGAGCGAGAAGACGUAGCAAUACGUUUGUAAAGCGGCGAACGGGUGAGGAAUACAUGGGUAACCUACCCUCGAGUGGGGAAUAACUAGCCGAAAGGUUAGCUAAUACCGCGUACGCUCCUUGGACUUCGGUUCAGGGAGGAAAGCGAUACCGUGGGUAUCGCGCUCUUGGAUGGGCUCAUGUCCUAUCAGCUUGUUGGGAGGUAACGGCUCACCAAGGCUUCGACGGGUAGCUGGUCUGAGAGGACGAUCAGCCACACUGGCACUGCGACACGGGCCAGACUCCUACGGGAGGCAGCAGUAAGGAAUAUUGCGCAAUGGGCGAAAGCCUGACGCAGCGACGCCGCGUGGGGGAUGAAGGUCUUCGGAUUGUAAACCCCUUUCCGGGUAGGGAAGAUGGAAUGGGGUAACCCGACUUCGUACGGUACCUCCACGAAGCAGCCACGGCUAACUUCGUGCCAGCAGCCGCAGUAAU